UACGUAGGGGGCGAGCGUUAAUCGGAAUUACUGGGCGUAAAGCGUGCGCAGGCGGCGCGUUAAGACAGGUGUGAAAGCCCCGAGCUUAACUUGGGAAUUGCGCUUGUGACUGGCGUGCUGGAGUGUGGCAGGGGGAGGUGGAAUUCCACGUGUAGCAGUGAAAUGCGUAGAGAUGUGGAGGAACACCGAUGGCGAAGGCAGCCUCCUGGGCCAGCACUGACGCUCAUGCACGAAAGCGUGGGGAGCAAACAGG
rnacentral:rRNA from 1 species